rnacentral:rRNA from 1 species
AGAGUUUGAUCAUGGCUCAGAGCGAACGCUGGCGGCAGGCUUAACACAUGCAAGUCGAGCGGGCAUAGCAAUAUGUCAGCGGCAGACGGGUGAGUAACGCGUGGGAACAUACCUUUUGGUUCGGAACAACACAGGGAAACUUGUGCUAAUACCGGAUAAGCCCUUACGGGGAAAGAUUUAUCGCCGAAAGAUUGGCCCGCGUCUGAUUAGCUAGUUGGUGAGGUAACGGCUCACCAAGGCGACGAUCAGUAGCUGGUCUGAGAGGAUGAUCAGCCACAUUGGGACUGAGACACGGCCCAAACUCCUACGGGAGGCAGCAGUGGGGAAUAUUGGACAAUGGGCGCAAGCCUGAUCCAGCCAUGCCGCGUGAGUGAUGAAGGCCCUAGGGUUGUAAAGCUCUUUUGUGCGGGAAGAUAAUGACGGUACCGCAAGAAUAAGCCCCGGCUAACUUCGUGCCAGCAGCCGCGGUAAUACGAAGGGGGCUAGCGUUGCUCGGAAUCACUGGGCGUAAAGGGUGCGUAGGCGGGUCUUUAAGUCAGGGGUGAAAUCCUGGAGCUCAACUCCAGAACUGCCUUUGAUACUGAGGAUCUUGAGUUCGGGAGAGGUGAGUGGAACUGCGAGUGUAGAGGUGAAAUUCGUAGAUAUUCGCAAGAACACCAGUGGCGAAGGCGGCUCACUGGCCCGAUACUGACGCUGAGGCACGAAAGCGUGGGGAGCAAACAGGUUUAGAUACCCUGGUAGUCCACGCCGUAAACGAUGAAUGCCAGCCGUUAGUGGGUUUACUCACUAGUGGCGCAGCUAACGCUUUAAGCAUUCCGCCUGGGGAGUACGGUCGCAAGAUUAAAACUCAAGGGAAUUGACGGGGGCCCGCACAAGCGGUGGAGCAUGUGGUUUAAUUCGACGCAACGCGCAGAACCUUACCAGCCCUUGACAUCCCGGUCGCGGACUCCAGAGAUGGAGUCCUUCAGUUCGGCUGGACCGGAGACAGGUGCUGCAUGGCUGUCGUCAGCUCGUGUCGUGAGAUGUUGGGUUAAGUCCCGCAACGAGCGCAACCCCCGUCCUUAGUUGCUACCAUUUAGUUGAGCACUCUAAGGAGACUGCCGGUGAUAAGCCGCGAGGAAGGUGGGGAUGACGUCAAGUCCUCAUGGCCCUUACGGGCUGGGCUACACACGUGCUACAAUGGCGGUGACAAUGGGACGCUAAGGGGCAACCCUUCGCAAAUCUCAAAAAGCCGUCUCAGUUCGGAUUGGGCUCUGCAACUCGAGCCCAUGAAGUUGGAAUCGCUAGUAAUCGUGGAUCAGCAUGCCACGGUGAAUACGUUCCCGGGCCUUGUACACACCGCCCGUCACACCAUGGGAGUUGGUUUUACCUGAAGACGGUGCGCUAACCCGCAAGGGAGGCAGCCGGCCACGGUAGGGUCAGCGACUGGGGUGAAGUCGUAACAAGGUA